rnacentral:rRNA from 1 species
CCUACGGGUGGCAGCAGUGGGGAAUCUUCCGCAAUGGGCGAAAGCCUGACGGAGCAACGCCGCGUGAUCGAAUGAAGGCCUUCGGGUUGUAAAGAUCUGUUGACAGGGACGAAUAAGCAAUGCGAAUAGUUUUGUGUAUGACGGUACCUGUUUAGAAAGCUCCGGCUAACUACGUGCCAGCAGCCGCGGUAAUACGUAGGGAGCAAGCGUUGUCCGGAAUUACUGGGCGUAAAGGGCGCGUAGGUGGGCGCUUAAGUCAGGUGUGAAAACUCCGGGCUCAACCUGGGGACUGCACUUGAAACUGGGUGUCUUGAGGGCAGGAGAGGAAAGUGGAAUUCCUAGUGUAGCGGUGAAAUGCGUAGAUAUUAGGAGGAACACCAGUGGCGAAGGCGACUUUCUGGACAGUAACUGACGUUGAGGCACGAAAGUGUGGGGAGCAAACAGGAUUAGAUACCCGGGUAGUC